GUUGGGGUCACAGGUUCGAAUCCCGUCAUAGCCACCAUAUUUGCGGGACUGGCGAAAUUGGUAGACGCACCGGAUUUAGGUUCCG
rnacentral:tRNA from 1 species